GGAAAGUAUAUAUUGAUUAUUGUAAUAGUUUAGAUAUUCAAAAACUAGUGUCAUGAUAUAUUUAAGACUCGAAUCAUACUUGGGAAAAAGCUUUUCUGAAAACGAUCAGUUCUACAUUUGAACAAUGAUCAAUUGUUAGCGUUACGUAAAUCGUAGUUCAUGUUUUCUCUAGUCUGAGGUAAGAGAUAAAACAGGCGGUUGCCAUCCGAGUUAUCUUUUUAAUCGUUCUUUCACACAAAGCAUCGCGUCUCUCGUCCAGGCGAGAACAAUGCCAAUGGAGCUGACUCAAAGCUUCACGGUAAGACCUGCCAGGGAGGAUUAUAUUCAGUGCUCUUUUCUGAACUCGUUCAAUUGAGUCCGCCAGAUAAGCUGGUAGAUUGUCAUGCCAUACAAUGCAGCAGUACUCUAGUACGGAGCGAAUGAGAGCAUAGUAAAUAAGGAUCAGUUCAUGAGGUGGGAUUCCACCCCGUUUAAGAAUUCUAAGAAUAUGAAAACGCUUGGAGGCCUUUUUAACAAUCAUGGCAAUUUGCCCAUUCCACUUAAGAUUAUCCUGUAUAACCAAGCCAAGAACCUUAUGAUGGGAAACGAUUUCCAGGGGGUGUCCCCUCAAAUUGAGACGUUCUAAAAUGGGUCGCUAUUUAAGGAAACAGACG